UUCCAAACUAACUUUCUUAAACAUGUCAAAACACAUGUGAACACAUACAUGUAUAAAUUCAAUUUAAAAAGCACUUAUUUGUAAAUCUACCAAAUAUAAGUAAAUAAUCUGUAACACAAAAGCUAUCUGAAAAAUAAAAAAAAUAAUAAAAAUAUAAAGUAGUUAAAUUAUAAAUGACUAUUUGCAGAAGCUGUUUAAAGCAUCUGAGCAAGGUCCAUGAAUACUAUGCAGAGAUUCAAAACUGUUACAAAUGAGGAAAUAGAGAAAUUUUUCGACUCCAGGCAAGCAAAAUCAACAAAAAGAAAUACAGCAUGGGGAUUUUUCAAGAUUGGAACAUGGAGAUCUAUGGUUCUGUACUAAUGGUGCAACAUUAGACCUGCAAACAGCAAAUGUGUCAACUCUUGCCAGUCAUCUCUCGUGAUUUUAUUGUGAAGCCAGCCCCAAAGAAAAAGUUGAUGAUGAUGUUUAGCCUUUGUACCACAAAAAUACUUUGAUCAAUAUCAAAGGAGCAAUAAAUCGCCAUCUUGCUGACAUUCAGAAAGAUGUAAAUAUAGUCCAUGACAAGGAGUUCGGAACAGCCAAUGGAAUCUUGGAUGGUUUCUUUAAAGAGCGAACCUGACUUGAUAUUAUCGAGAUACAUGAUCUGCAGAAGAUUUAUAAAUACCUCCAAGGUGCCACAUCAUCACCAGUGGUUUUGCGCCAUGCUGUAUGGUACUUUCAGUCCAUCAAUUUUAUUACCAGAGGUUUAGAGUUCCACCAUAAGUUUAAUCAUAACAGCUUUGUCUUCUGCACAGAUGAAACUGGCCAAUAUGCUGCAUUACAACACAAAACAUUACAAAAUAAUCAUCAAGGUGGUGUAGAUGCCGAUGACAGCCAUACAGACAAGAGAAUGUUCGCAACUGAUAAUGAAAACUGCUGUCAUGUUUAUCUCUUAAAGUUACUGAUGUCAAAAACUGAUUCAAAAGCUACAAAUCUUUUCAACCAAUACAUAUAAGAGAGAGUUCAUUCUGAUAUUUGGUAUUCAGCAAAACCCCUGCCAAAGCGCACUUUCAACAAGUCUCUCGGGGAGAUUUGCUUUGCUGCUGGUGUGGAGCAUAAAUACACAUCCCACUGUUUACGGGCCACUGCAAACACUUACCUUAAUGAUCAGGGAUUUGAAGCACGACAUAUCAUGUUCAUGUCGAACCAAAGGAAUGAGAGUUCAAUGAGGUCAUAUAACAGAUCGCUCUCCUCUAAACAAAAAAAAAAAGCAUUCUGCGAUGGCGUCUGCAUCUUCACCCCCUUUUACGAUCGUAGCUCUUCCACCGCUGUCGACCAGGUUCUUGAACUUGCCACCACGAACCCAUGAAAAUCAGGCUCUACUUGAAAACUUACCGUCACCAUCAGCACAUGAGACCACAACUCUCAUAUCGUCAAAUUCCACAGCCACAUCAUCGUCCUCCAUGCCAGCAACAUUGAAAACAGUUAACAUGAACAUGCAAAACAUUAAUCCAACAGCUUGGUUUUUCAAUAAUGCAAACUUCAGGGAGAGCACAUUUCGUUUUACUCAGUUGUGCUUACUGUAUUGUUACGUGUUGAUAAUGUUUAUUCUUAAUGAAU